rnacentral:rRNA from 1 species
CUACGGGCCGCAGCAGGCGAGAAAACUUUGCAAUGUGCGAAAGCACGACAAGGUUAAUCCGAGUGGUUUGUGCUAAACGAACCUUUUGACAGUCCUAGAAACACUGUUGAAUGAGGGGUGGGCAAGUUCUGGUGUCAGCCGCCGCGGUAAAACCAGCACCUCAAGUGGUCAGGAUGAUUAUUGGGCCUAAAGCAUCCGUAGCCGGCUCUGUAAGUUUUCGGUUAAAUCUGUACGCUCAACGUACAGGCUGCCGGGAAUACUGCAGAGCUAGGGAGUGGGAGAGGUAGACGGUACUCGGUAGGAAGGGGUAAAAUCCUUUGAUCUAUUGAUGACCACCUGUGGCGAAGGCGGUCUACCAGAACACGUCCGACGGUGAGGGAUGAAAGCUGGGGGAGCAAACCGGAUUAGAUACUUGUAGUC